AGACUCUUUAUGCAUUUCAAAUGCAGGAAGACGUUGCAAACACUUCUGGAGACUUUAAGAAACUGGCUUUGAGAAGAUAUCUUGCAAAGCGACCUAGGGCCUGGUUUAAAAGGAGCACGUUCAAACUACAACAGCUAAAUGAUGCACCUACCUUUUGCAGCGCAAUCUUCCUGUGUAUUGUACAUGCAUUUAAUUUGCUGCUCUCAGGGCCCAUACAUUUGUUUUUAUUACAGCCUGUGACUGUUUCAUUUAGUUUUUCUUUUCUUUGCAGAAUAACAUUCUUGGAAAAGGCAGUAGCCAUCAGUGGUCCCUUCUUGGGGAAAGGACAUUUCUGGACUUUCUUUGUUUGUUCGCAUAAUGCCAGACUAUGGAUGCCAUCGGCUGUCCUUCAAACAUCUACUACUCUAAUCUGCCCUCAAUAACUGUAGUUGUAGCUGAUGCCAAACAGAGCACAGUAGGCUGUAGAAAUGGCAGGGUUUAAGGAUGUAUUAUUUGUCAUUAAGAAAUUGUCAAUUUUGAGGAAGUUGAAAUGUGAUUUUUAUGAUUUUAAUAGUAAUUAUGAUUGCUUGCGCUGAAAAAUUUCAGAUGCUGGGCAGUGAGCUAUUCAUAUAUGUAAUGUUCCUGGUUUGCAAGUUUGCUCCACAAAAGGAAUUGGUACAGGAAAUAUAUGAAAACGAGGAUGUUCAUGAUUCAAUGACCAAAACUAAAGACUUCAGGUAAAAAAUAAUGUUUUUGUUUUUAUAUUUUUACUUAUUUUUUUCAUAAUCAUCAGUGUAAAUUGAAACCAGACUCUUUAUGCAUUUCAAAUGCAGGAAGACGUUGCAAACACUUCUGGAGACUUUAAGAAACUGGCUUUGAGAAGAUAUCUUGCAAAGCGACCUAGGGCCUGGUUUAAAAGGAGCACGUUCAAACUACAACAGCUAAAUGAUGCGCCUACCUUUUGCAGCGCAAUCUUCCUGUGUAUUGUACAUGCAUUUAAUUUACUGGAUUUGUUUGUAAUUGUAAUUGUUUAAAAAAGGAAAGAAGUCAUAAUUAUACUUGAUUAUUUUAUUGUAAUAUUGGACCUGUAAACUUAUUAUUUUCUAUCACAUUUUGGUUAUUUUUAGAAUUACAGGGCUUAAUCUCUCUGCAACAACCUAUGAGAACAUUAAGUGGUUGCACAUAGAUUGACACCCAGAACUUUUGAAAUCACAUUUAUGUAUCACCAAGUCAACUCAGGACUUCUCUCACAAUUCAGAUGGCAAAUGUUAUUCGUAUGAACAUAUGUUAAGAAUUUUUGACAUUACACCUCAGUGAUAACUCAUGGAUUUGAUGAUUUAUUCACACUGGAGAAGAUAGAUGUGUGAACCUAGGAACGCACUGCAGACAUGGCCAGUUGCAUGGUUGUCUGCUCUAAAUAAAAUGUCAUACUCUUGGAAUAAUAGAUUUAAAUGUAAUAAUAUAAUAUUUAUUAUUUAUUUAAAUUUCUGGUUUAAAAGGAAAAUAGACCCAAUAUAGCUGAAAUGGUUUUCUUAAAUUUUAUCUCUCAAAAUGAUGGGUAUUAUUAAACAUGUGGAGAUUAGCAUUAAUAAGUAAAUGCAACCUCUUAUUUACACGAGGCAAACAAAGCUACUUCCUUUGCAUUUUUAAGUAUGUAAUUGUAGACCUAUAAAUAUAAAACAAUUGUGUUGCAUACAUGUUACUGCCAUAAUAAUGACCCAUUUCAAAUGUUUACGUGCUUCUCUGAUCUUUUUGUUCUUAAUAAUCAUCCAAUCACUGUGAUGGAGCAUUUCUGAAAUAGUAUUCUUGUAAACAUUUUAGUAUUUCAAAAAAAAUUGUGUUGUAAUAUGCAUGCAAAGUACAACAGUGAGUAUAUGGUGUUAAACAAUGGUGAAAACGGUUUUAAACGGUUUAUUUUGAAAUGUUUUAAUCUCAGAGAUGUGGAUUUGGACAGCAAUUAAAUUACCACAUGACCUUGGGAUUCGGACUGAGAUUUUCAUGGGGAUUGUGGGAGAAAAAAGGUAACACUUUAUAAUAACUGCACACUAUUGAUAAUUAAUUAAGCAUUAGUAAACAGAUAAUUCAUAAUUCAUAAAGCAUUAAUAUACAGUAAUAAGUAGUUUAUAAAUACAGAUAUAAAUGCUUUAUUCUUUAUUUAAAAACAUAUCUAUAAUGUGUUUAAUAAUUGUGUUUUCAUACUUUAUUCAUGAUCAAUUUAUCAUUUCUCAAUGAAGUAUAGCAUUAUUUACACACCAGUUAUUAAGGAGUUGCCACUGAUUCAUAAGAUCACAAGAAAUGUAGUAAAUUCAGGUAGUUAUAAAGCAUUUAGUAGUGGUCAGUUAACUAUUUAUGAGAGCUCAUCUAAAGUGAGGACUAGUUAUGCCUUGUAAAGCAUUUAUAAAGGAUAUUUAAAGGCUCAGUUAUCUUCUAAACAAAAAAUGGAAACAAACACAACACAGUGAUACAGAACAUAGAAAUAUUAAUAUGAAUAUAGAGUACUCCUACGCUGAGAGCAGCUCAUAGAACAGUAAAAAUAACUGUGAUAUGAAUAUUGAGUACUCCUGCCCUGAGAUCAGUAAAAAUAACUGUAAUAUGAAUAUUGAGUACUCCUGCCCUGAGAGCAGUGCAUCAUUUAUUAAAAUAACAGUA
ensembl:lncRNA